AACGAACGCUGGCGGCAGGCUUAACACAUGCAAGUCGAACGGGCACCUUCGGGUGUCAGUGGCAGACGGGUGAGUAACGCGUGGGAACGUACCCUUCGGUUCGGAAUAACCCAGGGAAACUUGGGCUAACACCGGAUACGUCCGCAAGGAGAAAGAUUUAUCGCCGAAGGAUCGGCCCGCGUCGGAUUAGCUAGUUGGUGGGGUAAUGGCCCACCAAGGCGACGAUCCGUAGCUGGUCUGAGAGGAUGANCAGCCACACUGGGACUGAGACACGGCCCAGACUCCUACGGGAGGCAGCAGUGGGGAAUAUUGGACAAUGGGCGAAAGCCUGAUCCAGCCAUGCCGCGUGAGUGAAGAAGGCCUUAGGGUUGUAAAGCUCUUUCAGC
rnacentral:rRNA from 1 species